rnacentral:rRNA from 1 species
GAUGAACGCUAGCGGCAGGCCUAAUACAUGCAAGUCGAACGGGAUCUGAGGGUAGCUUGCUACCCGAUUUGAGAGUGGCGCACGGGUGCGUAACGCGUGAGCAACCUACCCAUAUCAGGGGGAUAGCCCGGAGAAAUUCGGAUUAACACCGCAUAAGAAUGUAUUAACACAUGUUAAAGCAUUUAAAUAUUUAUAGGAUAUGGAUGGGCUCGCGUGACAUUAGCUAGUUGGUGAGGUAACGGCUCACCAAGGCGACGAUGUCUAGGGGCUCUGAGAGGAGAAUCCCCCACACUGGUACUGAGACACGGACCAGGCUCCUACGGGAGGCAGCAGUAAGGAAUAUUGGUCAAUGGGCGGAAGCCUGAACCAGCCAUGCCGCGUGCAGGAUGACUGCCCUAUGGGUUGUAAACUGCUUUUGUCGAGGAAUAAACCUAUCUACGUGUAGCUAGUUGAACGUACUCGAAGAAUAAGGAUCGGCUAACUCCGUGCCAGCCGCCGCGGUAA